rnacentral:rRNA from 1 species
GAUGAACGCUGGCGGCGUGCCUAAUACAUGCAAGUCGAGCGAACAGACGAGGAGCUUGCUCCUUCGACGUUAGCGGCGGACGGGUGAGUAACACGUAGGUAACCUACCUAUAAGACUGGGAUAACUUCGGGAAACCGGAGCUAAUACCGGAUAAUAUUUCGAACCGCAUGGUUCGAUAGUGAAAGAUGGCUUUGCUAUCACUUAUAGAUGGACCUGCGCCGUAUUAGCUAGUUGGUAAGGUAACGGCUUACCAAGGCAACGAUACGUAGCCGACCUGAGAGGGUGAUCGGCCACACUGGAACUGAGACACGGUCCAGACUCCUACGGGAGGCAGCAGUAGGGAAUCUUCCGCAAUGGGCGAAAGCCUGACGGAGCAACGCCGCGUGAGUGAUGAAGGUCUUCGGACCGUAAAACUCUGUUAUUAGGGAAGAACAAACGUGUAAGUAACUGUGCACGUCUUGACGGUACCUAAUCAGAAAGCCACGGCUAACUACGUG